AACGAACGCUGGCGGCAGGCUUAACACAUGCAAGUCGAACGCCCCGCAAGGGGAGUGGCAGACGGGUGAGUAACGCGUGGGAACGUACCUUUCAGUUCGGAAUAACUCAGGGCAACUUGUGCUAAUACCGGAUACGCUCGCAAGAGGAAAGAUUUAUCGCUGAAAGAUCGGCCCGCGUUGGAUUAGCUAGUUGGUGGGGUAAUGGCCUACCAAGGCGACGAUCCAUAGCUGGUCUGAGAGGAUGAUCAGCCACACUGGGACUGAGACACGGCCCAGACUCCUACGGGAGGCAGCAGUGGGGAAUAUUGGACAAUGGGCGAAAGCCUGAUCCAGCCAUGCCGCGUGAGUGAUGAAGGCCCUAGGGUUGUAAAGCUCUUUCACCGAUGAAGAUAAUGACGGUAGUCGGAGAAGAAGCCCCGGCUAACUUCGUGCCAGCAGCCGCAGUAA
rnacentral:rRNA from 1 species